GGGAUUGUAGAUCAAUUGGUUAGAUCGCCGCCCUGUCAAGGCGGAAGUCGCGGGUUCAAGUCCCGUCAGUCCCG
rnacentral:tRNA from 2 species